rnacentral:rRNA from 1 species
GACGAACGCUGGCGGCGUGCCUAAUACAUGCAAGUUGAGCGCUGAAGGUUGGUACUUGUACCGACUGGAUGAGCAGCGAACGGGUGAGUAACGCGUGGGGAAUCUGCCUUUGAGCGGGGGACAACAUUUGGAAACGAAUGCUAAUACCGCAUAAAAACUUUAAACACAAGUUUUAAGUUUGAAAGAUGCAAUUGCAUCACUCAAAGAUGAUCCCGCGUUGUAUUAGCUAGUUGGUGAGGUAAAGGCUCACCAAGGCGAUGAUACAUAGCCGACCUGAGAGGGUGAUCGGCCACAUUGGGACUACGACACGGCCCAAACUCCUACGGGAGGCAGCAGUAGGGAAUCUUCGGCAAUGGACGAAAGUCUGACCGAGCAACGCCGCGUGAGUGAAGAAGGUUUUCGGAUCGUAAAACUCUGUUGGUAGAGAAGAACGUUGGUGAGAGUGGAAAGCUCAUCAAGUGACGGUAACUACCCAGAAAGGGACGGCUAACUACGUG